rnacentral:rRNA from 1 species
GGGCGCGAUCACACCAGCGUCAAUGCACCGCGGCGCAUUGAAACUUUGCAGUUAAGCAUGCUUGGGCUAGAGUAGUGCUGGGAUGGGUGACCUCCCAAGAAGUCCUAGUGUUGCACCCUC